rnacentral:rRNA from 1 species
GAUGAACGCUAGCGGCAGGCUUAAUACAUGCAAGUCGAGGGGCAGCACGGGUAGCAAUACUUGGCGGCGACCGGCGCACGGGUGCGUAACACGUAUACAACCUACCUAUAACAGGGGGAUAGACUUUCGCAAGAGAGAUUAAUACCACGUAAUAAGUUGAAUGGCUUCCUUUGACUUUGAAAGUUCCGAAGGUUAUAGAUGGGUAUGCGUCCUAUUAGCUAGUUGGUGGUGUAAUGGACCAACAAGGCGACGAAAGGUAGGGGAUCUGAGAGGACUAACCCCCACACUGGUACUGAGAAACGGACCAGACUCCUACGGGAGGCAGCAGUAAGGAAUAUUGGACAAUGGUCGCAAGACUGAUCCAGCCAUGCCGCGUGCAGGAAGACGGCCCUAUGGGUUGUAAACUGCUUUUGUACCAGAGAAAACCUACUCACGUGUGAGUAGCUGAUAGUAUGGUAAGAAUAAGCAUCGGCUAACUUCGUGCCAGCCGCCGCCGUAAUAC